GGCAGGACUGCCCCUCCAGGUACUUUCCUGAGACCCAGACACCAGGUCUUUUUUUAGCGGCAACAAAGUGUUUGUUUUUACAGCAAAUGAGGAAAUGAUAACUCAGUCCGCACCUCUUUCAAGUGAGACCUGCGUCAUCACUGCCCCGUACCCGCCCAGGAAGUGGAACACGGGGGGAUGCCCAGUGACCCAGGUGACAUGGACAAAGAGAAGACCAAGCCACAUCACCACCAGCGUUGUGGCCUGGUUGGUGGCUGCAGUAGGGAACUAAGAGAUCGGUGGGGUUCAGGGACUUGGGCAGGAAAUGCUGCUUCUUCAAGGACCACGUCCCCUACCGUCAGGUAACCAUUUGUCUCCACUCUUCUCCUGCUGCGCCUGCCUGGUCAACCACUGGCUGCCCCCAGGGGUAACGGAUGUGUCCAGGAAUGGACACUUGGCCCAAGUGUCCAUUGACCCAGGCCAAUUACUGCCCUGUCCCUGGCUCCCCCUCUUGCCAUUCUCAGGGGGCGCUGCUGAGGCCUGGUGACUUCAGGAGCUGGUCUGAGGGGUGGCCCUCCUGUCCAGGGAACAGUGGGAAGGGCAACGGGGAGAGUCAGUGCAGGUGUCCUCAGACCAGCUGUGCUGGCCCUUGGUGGCGCCCUGUCUCCCCAGCCACCUUGAGUCAGCUCUGUGGCCUGCCACUCAUGGUCCUGAGGAUGCAGCCUGUGCCUCCCACCCCUCAGCUACGUGCCUGUCAUUUCUCCAAGGGGACAAGGGUAUUCUUUCUUAGUUCCCAGCAAAAUCCCCAUUCUCGAGUCAAGUCUGUUCUCGCUCCUGCUGGGGGUGGGUUGGGGGAGGAUGUGAGGCCUGCAGGGGGACCCAGAAGAGGUCUCUUGGGGAGGCCGGUCUGCUGCCUACAGGCCCAGGAAGCAGUGCUUUCCCCCGUCGUCUCUGGGGAAUGGAUUCAGCUUCCGCGUCCCUGAGGAGUCGCCUCAUCUUCUCUGGAUUUGGGAUUCCAGGUCAGAGGAGGGCCAUGGGCAGCUCCAGGGACAUCUUCCCUGGGCCUUGGUGGGACCCAGGACUUUCCUGCCCCACCCCAGGCCUCUGGGGAUCACCUGUGUACCCUUCUGUUGGGUGUCAUUUCCUGGGAGAUGCCCCUCUGUCCAUUGGCUAAGCCUCUCUCCAUCUGGCAGAGGGGAAAGGGCUGGUUACCUGCAGGUCACCUCUCGAGGGGAGUUUGGGGCGACCCCAGAGCCCUCCAGUUCCCCACCACACAGUGGCACUUUGUGACUUUGCCCGCCCAGGGCCAGUCUCCCCACAGCAGAGGGCCCUACCACCGCCUCCUGUUUCUCUCACAUCCUGUUCCGGGAAGGGCCCCAGCAGGCUGCCUGGCCUGAGGGACGAGGAGGCCACAGAGAUGGGAGAGCCCUCACCACUGGCGGGACAGUCCAGGAACAGCCAAGGUGGAAGGCGCUGGGACUCCUGCCCUCCCCCUGCAGUGGACUGUGCACCCGAGGAGACCUGACCCCCAGGGGGUCUCUCACUUGUGGGCUACUGGCAAAGUGGGGUCCUCCUUUCACAACCCGUUGGCUCCCUGUCCUCUACAGAAAGUCACUCCGGCCCUGUGGCACCUGCUGCAGGUGUGUGGCUCUGUCUGCACCUGUCCCUUGGCCUCCCCGUCUAGAGGCCUGGGACCCCACUCCCAGCCCCCUGCAGGGCUCCAACACCAGGCUUUGCUCUGACCUCCUCAUCUCUGCCAACCUCCCUUUUCCGAGGCUCCACUGUCACCUCCUUCAUGAACCCUCCUGCUGGAAGGGGCCCAUCCCCUGUUGUCCCCUCAUCGUCUUCCUGAUUACAAGGGGUCCUGGGUCCCAUUCCCACUUCUCCCAUUGGGCUCCUUCAGGCCACUCUGCAAAAGGAGCCCUGAGGCCCUUCUAGCUACAGUCCAUCAGGACUUGCUCACUUAAUCCUUCCGGCCACUCAGAGGAGUGGGACCUCCUCCCCAUGUCUUGGAUGAGCAAGCUGAGGCCCGAGAUUGGCUGAAUUCCUCCAGGUCUCUAAGCCUGUCCCCAGUGGUUGGCCAGGUCCACUUGGGUGGAAGGGAGGAGGAGGUGCUGAGGACAGGCCCUUUUUCGUCCUUACAGAGGUCCUCACACUUUAGCAUUCCUCUAAGGGCUCAUUAAAACACUCGCUGGGGCUAGGGCUGGGGCUGGGGCUGAGAGGUAGAACGUUCACCUAGUACGUGCGAGACCCUGGGUUCGAUCCUCAGCUCUUGCUCUACCACUGGACCUGAGUUUGACCCCAGCACUGCCCAAACAAGACAACAACACAAACAAACAGAAAAUAUUACUGAUGUUUAGAGUUCCCGGUGCAGGAGGUCUGGGCCUAGAGUUUGCAUUUCUAACCUGCUUCCAGAUGUUGCUGCUGGGGUCCAGGGACCUGUUAAUUAACAUAUGCCACCUUCACCUGGGCCAGGCUAGUGGCCCUCUGCAGACUGAACACAGUUUGUUGGUUUUCCUCGGGGUCUCAUAGGCAGCUCCCAGACCAGGACCUAGCACUUAGCACCUAAUCUGUGUUCCCUCCUGGACUGCUGGGUCAAGUGGUCAGCAGGGGCAGAGGUCCAUGGGUGAGAAGCUCGGGAGAGGGGACUAUGGCCUGGAGAAUCGCUCAGGGAGGCCUCUGGCAGCAGGAGGAGCUGAACUGGCCAAGUCUUCAUGAUCACAUGAGAAGCCCCCAGCCCCAGGCCAUUGGGCCAGAGCUGCCUGGAUGGUGUCCAGGCAGAAAUGCAGGGAGACGCUGGAAGAUUUUCAGCCAUGUCCUGGGCUCCUUCUGGCCUUCCCUUCUCAGUUCUCCAUCCCAGCUGCAUGUGAGAGACCCCUGGAUGAUUUAAAAAGUCUGGAGGGGCCGAAGGGGUGGCUUAGUGGUACAGUCUCUGCUUAGCUCCUGGGAGGCCCUGGAUUUGAUCCUCAAUAAAUGAAUUAAAGUCCUAA